AAACCAUGGUGUGGGCAUUGAGCUUGGUAGCCCUUGAAUCUCUCCCAGGCUUCACUGAAGCCUUCCAAGCCUUUCGGUUGAAAGCUGGAGAUCUCAUUUCUCAGCUU
rnacentral:snoRNA from 1 species